UACGAGGGGGGCAAGCGUUGUUCGGAAUUAUUGGGCGUAAAGGGCGCGUAGGCGGUGUCGCAAGUCCGUGGUGAAAUCUCUAGGCUCAACUUAGAGACUGCCGCGGAAACUGCGGUGCUUGAGUGUGGGAGAGGUGCGUGGAAUUCCUGGUGUAGCGGUGAAAUGCGCAGAUAUCAGGAAGAACACCCGUGGCUAAGGCGGCUCUCUAGUACGGUACUGACGCUGAGACGCGAAAGCGUGGGGAGCAAACAGG
rnacentral:rRNA from 1 species